GACGAACGCUGGCGGCGUGCCUAAUACAUGCAAGUCGAACGAGAGCAACCGGUGCUUGCACUGGUCAAUCUAGUGGCGAACGGGUGAGUAACACGUGGGUAACCUGCCCAUCAGAGGGGGAUAACAUCCGGAAACGGAUGCUAAAACCGCAUAGGUCUUCGAACCGCAUGGUUUGAAGAGGAAAAGAGGCGCAAGCUUCUGCUGAUGGAUGGACCCGCGGUGCAUUAGCUAGUUGGUGAGGUAACGGCUCACCAAGGCCGUGAUGCAUAGCCGACCUGAGAGGGUGAUCGGCCACAUUGGGACUGAGACACGGCCCAAACUCCCACGGGAGGCAGCAGUAGGGAAUCUUCCGCAAUGGACGCAAGUCUGACGGAGCAACGCCGCGUGAGUGAAGAAGGUUUUCGGAUCGUAAAACUCUGUUGUUAGAGAAGAACAAGUGCUAGAGUAACUGUUAGCGCCUUGACGGUAUCUAACCAGAAAGCCACGGCUAACUACGUG
rnacentral:rRNA from 1 species